AACGAACGCUGGCGGCAGGCUUAACACAUGCAAGUCGAGCGCCCCGCAAGGGGAGCGGCAGACGGGUGAGUAACGCGUGGGAAUCUACCCAUCUCUACGGAAUAACUCAGGGAAACUUGUGCUAAUACCGUAUACGCCCUUACGGGGAAAGAUUUAUCGGAGAUGGAUGAGCCCGCGUUGGAUUAGCUAGUUGGUGGGGUAAUGGCCUACCAAGGCGACGAUCCAUAGCUGGUCUGAGAGGAUGAUCAGCCACACUGGGACUGAGACACGGCCCAGACUCCUACGGGAGGCAGCAGUGGGGAAUAUUGGGCAAUGGGCGCAAGCCUGAUCCAGCCAUGCCGCGUGAGUGAUGAAGGCCCUAGGGUUGUAAAGCUCUUUCACCGGUGAAGAUAAUGACGGUAACCGGAGAAGAAGCCCCGGCUAACUUCGUGCCAGCCGCCGCGGUAACAC
rnacentral:rRNA from 1 species